AUGGAAAGACGCCAGUCCAGGCAGGUCCUGGAACUCAACUUCAGUGACUUCCCCCUCCCCAGGAGGCACACUCCGAGCUGGUGCCACGUGAUCCUGCUGCCACAGUGGAAGCUGAACCCUGAGACAGACCCCAGGGCACCAUGCUGCAGACCAGCUGCUUCUACUGCACCCUCAUCCACACACCACCUCAGCAGGUACAGUCCUGAAUCUGCCCUGGAAAUGGGUGCUGCCCCCUCCCCUUUGCCCCAAUCUCUUCUUUCACCAUGGCGCUGUGCCGGGGGUCCUCCCGCAAAUGCUGGUCCCUAGACAAGGCACAAGAAUGCCUUUGCUUCAUCUCAAAUUACAACAGCACUGAAACGCCCCGUUUUGGCCCUAUAUAUUUGCCCCAGUUUCUCUGUGUCUGGCUUCAAAACACCAGCCUCAAAGGCUAUUUCACCCCAAACACCAGGCCCAAUCCCCUCACAAUUUCAUUCCGAACUCCAGUCUCAAACCCUCACUACUUCAACCCCAAACUCUAGACCAACAAUGAGGUUGGGGUGGGAAGCACAGUCUACACCUGGAACAGAAUUCGGGACGAAAGAGAGGGCGAGGGUGGAAAGAGGUGCAGUGGGGGCUCAGUAGGUCUGUGGGAGAAGGUGCUGUGGGGGAAUCAUUGGGGGCUCAGUGGGGGGGCAGUGGGACAUGGAGGACAGUGAGGGGCUGCACUUUGUAGUGCUGUGGGUUGGUCCUGAGGUGAAGUUGAGGUACGGGGUGGAGUCCUCCUGCCUGCUGGGGGGGUGGUGGUGGUGGGUGAGGGCUCCGUGUAGGGCAUGGGGGGACAUAGGGAGCACAGGGGAGUCCAGAGGUUUUCCCCCACCUCACCAGGUGGCUACCCUCUCCAUGCUGUAGUGCACAGGGACCUUCAAUUUCACCAUGUUGUCACCCAGCACCUCUGGCGUGCCAGUGGGGCUGUGGGGACAGCCACAAUGGCCUUGGCCUUGCCCUCGCCCAGGCCUUAACCUCGCCCGUAACCUUAAUCCCAUAACUAGCAUAAGUUAUAACCCUAAUGGUCCUAAAAAUCAUUGUUAUAUCACUAUCCUGAAAAUCCACUAAAACUAAUCCAGACAAGUCACUGUAGAAGUAACAUUAACAGUAACCUCAGUCCUAAGAUAAUGCCAACUGUAACUGUAAUUGCCCUAUUUAUUAAUGUGUAAACCCUAUUUAAAAACGUAGCCAAACAUAAUGGUAAUAGGCCAAGUGUUUACUAAUGCUGACUACACUGGCCACUCUAACCACAGUAGAUGACAACUUGGAGGGCAACUCAUAG
rnacentral:lncRNA from 1 species